rnacentral:rRNA from 1 species
GACGAACGCUGGCGGCGUGCUUAACACAUGCAAGUCGAGCGGAAAGGCCCUUCGGGGUACUCGAGCGGCGAACGGGUGAGUAACACGUGAGUAACCUGCCCUGGACUUUGGGAUAACCCU